rnacentral:lncRNA from 1 species
CGGCACCGCCGCAUGCGAGGAGAGGCUCCAGCUGUGCGCUCUGCCCGCCAGCUGUGCGCACUGCGGGCAGGGCCGGCCUCAGAGCAGUAAUCGACGAAGUGCCUUCGCAGACUUUUGCCAGCAGAUGUUAAUCAAUCAUUAUUUUUUAUACUGAAACUGAGACUUUGACUGUGCCAUGUCUAAGUGACCCAAAAACCUGGCUGCUUUGGAAACUGGAUAGUAUUGGCAAUCAAAGAAAUAUGAGUGAUGUUUUGCACCUCAAGACUUCAUUCUGUAAGAUGUAUCGACCGGAUUGCCUACCUGUAACUCAGCUUUGUAAGCAGCCUCCCGAGGUUAGCCACGGUGGUAUUACAUGCCUUGUGCUUUGCCAGCCCCUACAAGCCAGCCAAAGUCUGUUAAAGCCUUCAGAGCACAAAACACUGAUAAGAUGGAUCACUAACAGGUAUGCAUCAGGGAUAAUGCAAAGGUGUUCCAUGUACAACAACCUAAAAUUAGCUGCUUUUGACUCAAAGCAGUAGUAACUGCCUCCUAUGUUACCUCUGCUGGAACAGAGUGGCUAAUGUAUGUAAGGGAAAUAAUGAUACUGAGUAUGUACAUUAUAUACAUAUAUACCAUAUAUAUGUAUGUAUAUGUGUAUAUGCUAGCAUGUAAAAGUCAUUUUUUGAAAAGUUCUGGGAAAUUCAGGCAUAUGGCUUGUUUUGGACUGUUAUAAAAAAAAUGAUAAUUCUGGUGAUAAAGCUAAAAAUGUAUACAUUAGGACCUACAUUCUUAAUGUAGGUCAGUGGAGGCACUUCUCAGACAUAUUAGUGUUUUGGACACUUAAUCUUAGCAGCAUAUUGCAUCUCCUGGAAUAGGUUAGCAGAGGCAAUGCAGGAGAAAUUGCUGCAUCUGAAGUCAUUCAGAAAUAUUGCCAAGUUUCUCAGGAACCAGAAUUGCAGGAUAAUGAGUAUUAUAUUUAAUUUGUGAUGGAAAGGCAACCGUGGGGAGUUCAGCGGAGGCAACUCAGAUCAUCUCGGCUCUGUGGGGGAGGGAGAAUUUAUAACUAUAGCUAGCUAAAAAGAAGAAAGCUGUCUGUGUAUUUGUGUGUAUAUAUAUAUUUAUAUAUAUGUAUAUACAAAUCUGUGUAUGUGUAGAUAACACUGCGUGUAUAUAUGUAUGUAUGUAUAUGCCCAUAAUGUAUAAUAUGUGUAUCUAUAUAUAUGUAUACAUUUAUAUAAAUUUAUAUUUCUCUAUAUAAAUAGUCAUGCAACUAUGGAAAAUAACAUUUCACCGGUGUGUCCUUUUCUUUAAAACCCAACAAGAAGCUUAUCCCAUUAACAUCAUAUUGCACAAAGUUCUUGUUAUCAUUUACACAUAGAUAGGAGUGUUGCUCUAUGGCUGAGCACCAGCCUGGAAGGUUUUUACUGCUCCAGAGGACUCCAAGCAAGUCAUUAGCUAUUCCACAGCUGUUCUUCAUAUGUGAAAUAAAGCAGUGGCCAAAGAGACUCAGGGGCUGCUUUUAAAAGUGAAGGAAGAUGGGGUGUUUGACUGUUUAUGCUUUGGAAAUCCCUGUCAUGCUUUGUGGAGUUUUGAUGGUGAAAUACCCUCAGUAGUGAUUACUUUGGUUGCUGUUAAUGUUCCAGCUAAUGGUAACGGCUUCUGAACAGAGGGAAAAAGAUGAAUUUCCUGCUCUAAAGUAAGUGAUCUGGAGUCUGAUUACUUUGACUAGAUGAUGUAUGGAUUUCCAUUUAGGGUUAGGAUGUUAGGCGGUAAAUCAAGAAUCUUAGCUCAGUGAGCUUCUAGUUCAGGAUAUCUCUUUUAUGUUAUAAUUGAUUUUAAAUAAUUUCACUUCAUCAUCAGAGUAAGCUAUACCUUAAUUCAUUAUAAGCUCAAAGAAUUUCUCAACUGGAAAGCCAUUUAUAUCAGGGUGAAUCUUGCACUUGGCUUCAGUGGGGCUGAAUCAGCUCAGAGGGUUUCAUUAAGCACAGCACUAACAUUAAAACAGUCUUGUAGUUGUGCAACUAUUAACCAAAAGUGUAAUUUUGUAAUAAAAGUGAGCCUAAAAAUGAUUUGCUAGUUAUGUAUUCUAUGAUUAUAGCAUCUUUCCAUCAAAGAGACCUUUAGGCAGUUACAGGGGUUCUGGUUCUGUGCAGCUGACUGCUGCUCCCUGAUUUGAGCUGCACGUAUUGCCCUCCCCCAGCAUCCCCUCAGCCCAAACGGUGGCUAGUCACAGAACUGCCACGUGCCUUGUGCUGGUGUGAAUGUAGGUCAUGGGGAAGCAGCGCUGUCCUCACGGUGGGGGCUCUAGCACAAC